UCAUAAACUGCUUCUUCAUGUAGAACAUGAAAUGUUCACUUUGAGAUCAGAGUCCGUUCUGAGUGAACAGAGAAGAACGAGGACUGAAAGCUGAAUCAGGGUUAAGAUAGAAAAGGUGUGUGAGCUGAUGUGAAUUCAGCAGCAUGGGUCAGUGUGAGGACAGAACGGAGGACGGCUCUUCCUCUAAAACCACUCUGUGUGUGGAACGUGAUGGACAGAACAAAGAUCAGAGAUUUAAUCAGACACCCAAAGCUGAGCCCAAACCUGAGCCCAGCUGUGUGUCCCUAAAGAAGGAAUCGUCAAAGGAUGAUUUUAUAGACUUUAAAUUGGACCAACCUGCAGCAGCAGAGAGAGUGGACCAGCAGAGCUCAGACGUCCCCAGCUAAGUCUGCCCAGCAGCAUCAAACACAUCUGGACUCCAUACUUAUGCUGCUUGAGGACAACAUGUUCACUUUUGUGAAGAACGAGCUGAAGAAGAUCCAGAAGAUUCCAGAGUCCAUAUUAUCCAGAAUGCUUAGAAUGUUGGAGGGAGGACCAGGAGGUGUUGGAGGGUGAGCAUGAAGAGCAGAAGAGGAGCAGCAGAUAGGCAUUUGUGAAGAAUCCAGUUUACUGUUGUGGAAAAAUUGCUUGAAAAAACAUGAAAAAAAAUUCUAAAACCAA